rnacentral:lncRNA from 1 species
AUGCGUAAGGUGAAGAAGUUGUGGAAGGACCAGGGCAUAGCAGAGGAGAUCCAAAAACUCAAGAUACUCGUGACAGAGCAGAGUGAGCGGGCCAAACGCUACCGUGCGCUUGGAUCCUCGCCGCCUCACUAUCUCGCCGCCUCACCUCAGCCGGUGCGCUUGGAUCCUCGAGCAACUGCCCUCUUUCAGGAGGCGAGGGAUCCUGUGGGAAUUGAUGGUCCUCGCGAGGAAAUCAUCCAGUUAUUACAAGUUGAAGAAAAGCAACACAAGGUGGUGUCCAUCUAUGGUACCGCUGGGCAGGGGAAGACUACUCUAGCCAUGGAGGUAUACCGAAAAAUCACACAAGCAUUUGAUUGCAGGGCUUUCGUGUCUGUAUCUCAGACUCUGGAUCUGAAGAAGCUACUCAGAGAUAUAUUGUCUCAAAUAGUAAGCAAGAGCGAGUUUGACCAGUUGCAGUCGGAAAGGUGGGAGACGGAGCAGCUCAUGCGCAAAAUGAUAGACUACUUAAUUGGCAAGAGGUAACCAGAAUUACUUUCUUGUACUAUAAUAAUUAGCCAGUUCAUCUAGCUAUGGCAAUGUUGUGAGGUCUUUGUCGAUCACAUGAGCUCACCUAAUUUAUCGGCCAUUUUACGAUUGUAUUUUACGGACCCAUUCGAGCAUAAAACUACCACAUAUGCAUUUGUUACAUGAUUCCUCAACCAAUAUAAUGCAUGCAGGUACUUCAUCUUGAUUGAUGAUAUCUGGAAUGUAUCAGAUUGGGAGCUUGUAGAAGCUGCCUUACCUCGCAAUGACAACGGAAGCAGAAUAAUUACUACAACACGCAGUAAAACAGUAGCCGAAACAUGUGCUGGUAUUGACGCACAAAUGUACAAAGCAAAGCCACUUGGUGAUGACGAAUCUCGCAGAUUAUUCUUUAAAAGGCUAUUUCACUCAACUGAACAUUGUCCCCAAGAUUUGAUGGCAGUAUCCAGUGAUAUUUUGAGGAAAUGUGGGGGAUUACCAUUAGCCAUAAUCAGUAUAGCUGGUUUAUUAGCAAACAGAAGCAAAACCAAGGAAGUUUGGGUCAAUGCAUUGAAGUAUAUUUCUGCUGCAGUUGACAAAGAUUCUCACAUUGAUAAAAUGAAAAGAAUUUUUCUGCUUAGUUACUUUGACCUUCCUCUUCAUCUAAAGAGCUGUAUGUUAUAUCUGAGCGUGUUCCCGGAGGAUUAUUUGAUUGAUUGUAGACGGUUGAUAUUGUUAUGGGUAGCCGAAGGACUGAUUCCUGGACAAGGCAGAGAAAAUAUGGAGCAGCUUGGGAGGAGUUAUUUGAAUGAGCUGAUCAAUAGAAGCUUGGUCCAGCCAACCAAGGUUGGGGCAGAUGGCGCAACAGUGAAACAGUGCAGAGUUCAUGAUGUCAUACUUGAGUUUAUUGUUUCAAAGGCUGUGGAGCACAAUUUUGUUACUAUAUGGAAUCGUAAUGGAUUUUCUGAAAAUUAUUCUUCUAACAAGAUUCGCCGUUUAUCUAUCCAACACAACAUUUCUAGGCAGGCUGAAGAGAUGACGAUAAAAGAACAUGCAGCUCAUAUUCGAUCAAUUAAUAUUUUUGACCCUAUGUCAAUGCUGCUAAUUACCUCUAUGUUUUUAAGUAGCCAAGUCUUGCGAGUGCUGAAUACAGAAACUCGGGUGGGUUGCAAUCUUGGACAUGUCAAAAGUUUUGGUCAAAUCAAGUACUUGAGGUUGGGGUUGAGCUUUGGAUUUCGACCAUUAAUAUCAUUUGGCUGCAAACUCCCAAAAGAUAUAGAAAAGCUGCAACAUCUGGAGACACUAGAUGUUACGGUUUGUGCCGGCAUUGAUAUACUACCGGCUAGCAUUACCCAACUGCAUAGAUUAGUGCGUCUUCUUGUCGGUGCUAGGGUAAAACUACCUGAUGGGAUUGGAAAUCUGCAGGCAUUGGAAGAGCUACCAUCGAUUAGUUUGGGUUUUCAAACUAUCAAGUUUAUCCAAGGGCUCGGCGAUCUGACCAAUCUGAAGGUACUUGGAAUUGAUUGGAGGUACGAUCAUUAUUUAUUACGUCACGUGGACGUGGAAGGCCACAAGGAAGCAUGUAUCUCGUCACUCUCCAAGCUUGUCACAACCCUUCGAGAACUGCACGUCGUGCAGGAUGCUCGUGAUGACAGACUUUCAUUCAUGGCUUCGUGUGGCUCUACUCCACCACCCCUUCGGAGGCUCGUCUUUCACGAUAGUUGUGGACCAAGUGUCGUGCCCCAUCAAAUCAUCAGCUCGCUAGUCAACCUGACCCGCCUCAGUAUUGGACUAGUAAGCCAGGAAGGGAUAAAUAUCCUAGCAAGUUUGCCCAUGCUCCUCUCUAUUACUGUUCGCGUUUUGGGUAAUUCUGGAAUCAGGUAUACAAUCAGCAGUCAAGGAUUCCAGUGUUUAGUCAAGUUUAAUUUCGACUGUUAUUAUAUGGGGGCGUUGGAGUUUGAGCCAGGAGCCAUGCCAAAGCUCCAAAGGCUCAAGCUGUACCUGGUGGCAUGGGGUCAGUUCAAUUAUGAGCAAGGCGGCCUCAUCCUUGGGCUGCAGAAUCUGGCAGGCCUCAGACAUGUUGCUCUUUGUAGUAAUUGUAAGUAUGCUACUCCUGACGAGGUGCAGGAUUUGGAGGAUGACAUCAUGGUUGCAGCAGGCGCCCAUCCCAACUGUCCCGUGGUCCAGCAGGUCAAAAAAAUAAAUCAAGAGUGGAUGGCUCAAGGGUGCAGCAGGCGCCCACGCGACUAUCCCAUGCUAGAAGCACAAUGACCAAGUAAAUGCAUGGUGUGGAGAAUAAAUAUCAUUAUCAAUAAUGAUCUUUUUUUUCUGUUUCAAGAGCACGUUGGAAUUAAACAAGGUUAAUUCGAUUUGUUUUCAUCUUAGUUUUUGCUUUAUGACAACAUGUGUGGAGAAUAAAUAUCAUUAUCCACUCUGAAAUGUUUUUACUUGAGUCUAAAUAAUCUCCAUUGAAGAAAUCAGGCACCACAACGAAGUAUCCUGCCUCGCUAACUUUAUCGGCUAUCUGUCUGCAUCAUUAAAAGAUCCACUGGUACCAUCAUUAUUCCACUAAAUCAAGGGCGAUGAACAAUAGCUAGUACAGAAAGGGAUUCUUGCGUCGUUGUACUCCAAACAAAAUGCAAUCUAUCUCAUAUGAGAAUUAACUUUCACUGGAUUGUCUUUUUUUUGGAAAAAAAACUGUACUGUAUUUUACUCUGUACAGAAGCACAAAGCAUUGUUAUGUUUUUUAAAAAAGAUAGUCAAAUAAAAUUUGCUCUAGUUCUUCAAAGUCUCUAAAAUCAUUUGUUGAUAUUUAAAAGCAUUUUGCUAUGGUUAUGAUUGCGUUGCUACUUGCUACAAGCAUCAUAAGGGAGUACUAAGCAGGAAAAAUCGAAAGCAUGCCAGCCGAAUGCUCUAGUUCUUCAAAGUCUCUAAAAUCUGGAGAGAUGCUAGUUGACCAAGAACAGAGCAUCUUGAUCUACGAUAGUAAGCCAGAGUAGAGCAAGAAAGAACACAAAAUUUGGGAAUUAAAAGACCGUAGAUAUAUUUAUGUACCUGAGUAAAGGUGCCUCGAACCCUGAGGAAAUCAAUCAAAAAGUGGAGAAAAAUUUCCUGUCAAAACGUAUGCCCAAAUUGACUAGAAACUGCAAGAGUGUAGUACUACGGUCGAAACACCAACCGAAAACAUCGGAGGCGAGGAUGAAGGCGCGGCUUGAGCUUGCGGCUGAAGGACCGAAAGGGUGACCAGAGGAGGCUAUAAAAAUUCUCAACAAGAACAAGGCCUGUGUUCCAAAUGCAACCCCAAAGCACACAACACGUUGUAUCGUCAAGAUGAUGCAAGUCCACUCGUGACAAGCUGACCCUAGGAACGAUACACGUAUCAAAAGCAAAGCUCAAAGUGAUCCGAAUACAUGCAUGACAUGGUGGAAGCAGAAUAUAAAGUGACUCACAGUCAGAUUCAAGCAAGCCCACGAAAAACUUACUCAACUAAGCAUAAUUAGCAAGAGAUAAAACACAUUAAGUACUCAAGCGAGUGAACAAGUAUUAGUUGGCUAAGUGUUAGGAUUAACAGAGGAUUAGAAAAGCUAAUUUAACACCGAACAACCAUGGAUUAGAACAGUGCUAUCAGCCAUGUGCAAGAACUAAUAAUGAUUACUCAAAUCAUUGAUCACUGUAGCUAGAAAGCAACUCUUCGAUGGUGUUUGGAUCAGUAGUUCAUGAGCUAAAUUUUAGCUCCUAAACUUUAGCCCCUAAAAUUUAGUUCUGCUGGGCUGUUUGAAUUCAUGACUAAAAUGGACUAAAAUCCAUAAAUGUUGUUCAACAAAGAUACUAUUACCCUCCUUCCCUACCCCUCCUCUCCACCAGCAGCAGCACCACCACCACACAACUAGACCACACCCGAGGCCACGAGGGGUGGGCGGGCGGAGGCGGGGUGCCGGCCGAAGGAGGCGGAGCCGGGCGGAGGCGGCGGGGCGGCCGGAGGCGGGGGGCUGAGCGGAGGUGGCUAGGCCGGCCGGAGGCAGCAGGGUCGGGCGGAGGCGGCGGGCCGGCUGGAGGAGGCGGGGCGGCUGAAGGCGGGGGGGGCUGAGUGGAGGCGGCGGCGCCGGCCGGAGGCGGGGCCCGGGCGGAGGUGGCACCACCACCUGCAGAAGCAGCAGCAGCACUGGCGGCGCCGCCGGUGGUGGAGCUCGGCCACCUCCACCGCGCUCCUCCUCUUCGUGUGUCUGGAGGAAGGGAACAGGGAGACCGCGGUGGAAGCCGGCGCGGCGUCAGCGUCCGUGGAGACGGUGGCGGCGUCCGGGCCGGCGCGGCCCACAGCGGAGCGCGCAUUGGCCGCGCUGGAGCUCCUGUGCACGGCCCUCGGCGGCGUCGCGGCGGUGCGGAGGAAGGCACUCGCGGUGCCGGUCUUGGCGCGGGUGGUAGAGGGGAUGUCCGGCCACGGGCAGGAGUGCGGGGCGGGAGAGAGGAAGGGGGGCAACGUGUGGAAAUUGGUGAGGAGGAGCACUUUUAGCCCCUUUUAGGGCCUCUUUGGGGGCUAAAAUUUUUAGCCCAAAGUUUAGCUAUUUGUCACUUUUUGCCCUCCUGUUUGGAUCCCAAGAGCUAAAUUUUGAGCUAAAAGUGCAAGACUAAAAUUUAGUCCUUGGAUCUAAACAGACUAAAAUUUUAACUCGUAGGGAAUGUUUUGCAGGAGAAUGUGCACCUCAACAUGGAAUCUAUGGAUACACUUUUGGCAACAUACCUUCAAACCACAUUCUAUGCAACAAUAAUCUUGUGCAAACCAUAUAUAGCUAUGCCCACCAUUUAUAGAACAAUGUUCAAUAGAUUACCAUAUGCAUAUGAACGUGCACGAUGCACUACGAGAAUGUCCAAGUUUGCCGUGUGUCCACGGCACACGGCUUUUUCCAAAGAAACCUCAGCAAAACCUUUGCUGAGUGGGCGUACACAGUGCCGGUAAAAAUUUCUUUGCCGAGUGUUUUUUAUCGGGCACUCAGCAAAGACUUUGCUAGUGCUAAAACUGACGCUCGGAAAAAAAAGCAACAUGACGGUGUGAAAACGGUCGUGGCACGUUUGCCGAGUGUCUAAUAGCAUGGACACUCUGGCAAAGAAAAGCCUCAACAAACAUGAGUCAUUUUAGACUUUAGGCACAAUUUCCUAAAGAAACACCAGAAAUUUCACAGAAAUUUUCACAUUAGCUGUGUAAAUAAUAGCAAAGUUCUUGCAAGGUGACCAUACUUGCAAGGUAUGCUCGUCUUAAUCUUGGUCUACUUAUUAGUCUACAAUAAGGCUAGUUUCAGUGGGAGUUUCAUAGAGGUUUCAUGCACAUUAAAUACGGUGACACAUCAGCAUAUGUGAUGACAUGGCAUGGUAGUUAUGAAGUGAGAGAGGGAACGAGUUUCAUCAGGAUGAAACUGUGUAUACACUGUUUCCAAGACUAUGAAACCUAUUGAAACUUACAUUGGGGGCUAUAGAGUUUCAUUUCAUGUAACCAUAUCCAAUCACAUGCCUCACAAUUAAAUGUCAUAGGCAUCCUAUGAAAUCGUGAAAUGAAACUGUGCACUGGGACUCCCUGUUUCAUUCAUGAGAAUACACCUCAUGGGAUGAUAUAGCAUUCUUAGAAACAGUGCAAUGAAACCUUGCACUGGGACUGGCCUAACAUUCCUUUCCUUAUCUAGAAGAGACUAUUUGCCCAGCAACUGACCGUUGUAUCUUCCAACUAGCAUUUCGCUUGCGAGUCCAGAUGGUAAAAGUAAAUAAAAAAAUGAAAAUCGGGGUUGGUGGAGAGACAAAGAGAAUAGGAAAGGGAAAGUGCUCAUGGGGGAAGUGGAACGAAGCAUCGUGGGAGGUGAGGCCGUGCUUACAAAGCACUUUCUCGGGUCGUUCGCAUCGCUCACGCGUAAAUGGAAUCCCCAUCUGCGACGGUGAGGCCCUGAGAAUUGAAGCGCCCUUCCUCUCUGACACCACCACAAGUUAGCUAGCAGAGCGGUAGAGCCAGCUUCCCAGUCGAGAUGGCCGAACUGAUGGCGAGCGCCGCCACGAGCGUGAUGGGGUCCGUCAUCGGCAAGCUGACUGCCAUGCUCGGCGAGAAGUACCAGCUCGCCAGAGACGUGGAGCAAGGGAUCCGCUUCCUAAAGGAUGAGCUGAGCACCAUGGAUGUCGUGCUGCAGGAGCUCGCAGACAAGGAAGACGACCAAAUGGAUCCAGUGGCUAAAGAUUGGAGGAACAAGGUGCGUGAGGUAUCCUACGAUAUUGAGGAUUGCAUCGACCGCUUCAUGCUCAAUCACAGCCAUGGAGGUUCCAAGGCUAACUUUGUUCGCGAAGCCAUGCGUAAGGUGAAGAUGUUGUGGAAGGACCAGGGCAUAGCAGAGGAGAUCCAAAAACUCAAGAUACUCGUGACAGACCAGAGUGAGCGGGCCAAACGCUACCGCAUCCAUCACUAUCUCGCCGCCUCACCUCAGCCGGUGCGCUUGGAUCCUCGAGCAACUGCCCUCUUUCAGGAGGCGAGGGAUCCUGUGGGAAUUGAUGGUCCUCGCGAGGAAAUCAUCCAGUUAUUACAAGUUGAAGAAAAUCGACACAAGGUGGUGUCCAUCUAUGGUACCGC